AGACGACAAAGAACAUUUAUUGGAUAUUAAAAAACAACUUUCUGAAGAUCUGUUCUUUUUCAGGAUUGAAUGUUAAUUGACUUUUAGGUGAACAACUUGGUAUAGAGUAGAUUAAGAAGAUGUCCCCUACACUUCCCCCGAAAAAGGAGGAAGAGAGCGAGAUAUGUAUGAAAAGUCUACUUUCAUGGAUGUAGCCUAAUUUGGCAUCCUCUUGUUUGUCUUGCUCCCAUGCAUGAUCUGAUACUUGAGUGGGAACAUAAUAAACUGUUUUCAAGUAUUUAGGUUAUAUAACCUCAAGACGAUAAACUAUUAGUUUUUUCUUUAUGAUUUUUAUACUGAUUGCAGGUCCAGACAUAUGCACUAGAAGGUUAGAAACCCACUGUUAUGCUUCCAAUGUGUGAACCGUGAACCAUGAAAAUCUACUUGGAUGGUACACAUUUAUAACCUUAUUUCAUACCAAAUCCAAGCUUGAAAUGUUGAUGGAUUAAAAUAUUCACCGUUUUUCAUAUUUUCUACACUGUUUGCUUCAUAUGACAGAAGAAGAGUCUUGGUUAUGGAUGAGGCUCAAAUUAAACAUAUGGGUGAGUUUGAAUACGCUUAAACUUGGCAGCAUUCCCUACUGAUAGGAAUCUUGAUACCUGGUUUGAAUCAGAUGUGACCAACUGUUGGGUUCUUCACUUGCCCAUUUUCCCCCUCCAGCAUCCAGCAGCAAACUCUAGAAAUGUAUUCUAAUUUUUAUGUUAGGAAA
rnacentral:misc_RNA from 1 species